rfam:Salmo salar isolate Sally breed double haploid chromosome ssa19, whole genome shotgun sequence.
UGCAUUCACUACUGUAAAUCCCUCUGGAUAAGAGUGUCUGCUAAAUGACUAAAG